UUCUAAUGAACAACAUGAAGCCAAAAGAAAAUCCAAGGCGUUUGCAGAAAGAGGUUAUAA
rnacentral:sRNA from 1 species